CAGCCAGUGAAGCCACUAGAUGCAUUGUGUGGACACAGUAAGAUCUCAAUGUGUUACAACUUCACUCUUAGAGAAAAAGAGGAAAGUCGUAUGAGAGGACAGAAGGGCAAGAUGAAAGAAGAUAUUAAGAGAAAGCUCCAAGGUAAUAUUCAGUGCAGCACUCGGAGCAGGAGGCCAAGCAGUUGGAGUCUACGACACUGACACAACCUUGAUCUACAGAAAAGUGUUCACAGACAUCGGUAAAGCCUACAAUCCGUCCACAGGUGUCUUUAAAGCACCGGUUUCAGGUAUUUAUUACUUCACCUUCUUCUAUCAUGCUGGAGGAGAAGAAGACUCUCUACAAGUAUGACGAGGCCAUCGUCGGGGCAUACGAUCACGAUUCAGAUAAUGACACAACUGAUAAUGGAGGAAAUGCAGUGUUCCUGCAGCUGCAGUACGGAGACCAUGUGUAUGUGACCCUGGGUGCACACUCACAUGUUUGGGGAUGUGACAUGCUGACACCUUUCAGUGGUUCCUUGGUCACUGAGCUGUAAGAAGCAAUCAAUGUAUGUGUAAUAUGUAUGUGACACUAAAAAGGUAAAGCUAAUUUAAAGUUAAGUGUAUUAGAUGGAAUCGGCUUCUCUUGAGCUCAGAUGUGCCUCAGCAACUCCUUCACGUUUGCAUUUUAUCUGAGUGUUUUGAUUUUUUCUGAUUUGAUUUAAGUUCACCACUUUGUGUUUUCUGUGCUAUAUCACUCUAAUGUUUUUCUUUGGAUAUGUAAACACAUCGAAACAAGUUAUACAACUGAAGAUGACUUACCUCGCUUAAUCAUUUGAUACUUUGAAGACUGAUGUAAAGAAAAUGUGAAAUCACUAAAUAAAAGUAAGCAAUGCAUCUGCA
ensembl:lncRNA